rnacentral:rRNA from 1 species
CACGUAGGGGGCGAGCGUUGUUCGGAAUCAUUGGGCGUAAAGGGCGCGCAGGCGGCGAGGCAAGUCCGGUGUGAAAGUGCUCGGCUCAACCGAGUGAUGCGCUGGAAACUGCCCUGCUUGAGUACAGGAGGGGGCGUCGGAAUUCCAGGUGUAGGGGUGAAAUCUGUAGAGAUCUGGAAGAACACCGGUGGCGAAGGCGGACGUCUGGCCAUGUACUGACGCUGAGGCGCGAAGGUGCGGGGAGCGAACAGG